AAGAGUGACUCAGAAGUUCCUCAAACAAGGCGCGAACACAGAACUAAUAAAGUAACAUUACCACCUCUAUGCGAGACAGACCAGGGUACUCCAACGAAAGGCACUGAAGUCGGAGUUCCCGCUCAACUUUCCCAGUGGUCUCCUUUCCGUCAACGCCGUGCGUCCUUACCGCUGCGUCUUCUCAUUGGCCCGUUGCUAGAUGACAGCGCCUGCGCGCUGCGUUCCUCUGAGGGUCGUGGGUAGACGCCAUUUUGGCCCCAGAGGUACUUAUGGGAAGUCGAGCCCGCUAGUCGGGUACGGCCUCUUCUACCGGAGGUUAUAGGUCUAAGUGUUUGCAUCUGGCGCUGUUGUUGUUUUACUCUCCGCAACCUCCAACCCUCUAGUCGAGUGGGAACAUCUGGGCAUCGCACCGCGCCAUUGGGGUAGGGGGGCUCUGCACCGCCGGGAAGGUGAGAGGGGCGGCGUGGGGCGCGGACACUCUCAACCAAGAGUCUCCCCCACUCCCCCCUCCGCCCCCCCGCCAUGGACUCCGAAUAUUACAUUGGCGACCAGUCAGCAGAUGAUGGUGGCGCUACCCCAGUACAGGAUGAACGGGAUUCAGGGUCAGACGUUGAGGAUGAUGUAAAUGAACAGCACUCUGGAUCAGACACUGGAAGUGUAGAACAUCAUUCAGAGAAUGAGCCUAGUGAUCGAGAAGAUGGUCUCAACAAAAGACAUCAUGUGACAGACUCUGAGAAUGACGAGCCCUCAAAUCUUAAUGCUAGUGAUUCUGAAAGUGAGGAGCUUCAAAGGCAAAAGGACAGUGAAUCUGAAUCUGAAGAACAUGCAGAACCUCGUGCAAGUGAUUCUGAAAAUGAGGGUAUCAGUCACCAUGGGAGUGAAUCUGAGAGUGAGGAGACCAAGAAAUUACCUGUUAGUGACUCUGAAAAUGAAGAACUUCUUAAUGGGCAUGCCAGUGACUCUGAAAAUGAAGAUGUUAGAAAGCAUCCUGCCAGUGAUUCAGAGAUUGAAGAGCUCCCCAAAAGUCCUGCCACUGACUCUGAAGCAGAGGAUGCUAUAAAACCUCAAAUCAGUGACUCUGAGAGUGAGGAACCUCAAAGGAACCAAGCCAGUGACUCUGAAAAUGAGGAGCUUCCCAAACCUCAGAUUAGUGAUUCUGAAAGUGAGGAGCUUCCUAAACCUCAGAUCAGUGACUCAGAAAGCGAGGAGCCUCAGAGGAUGCAGGCCAGUGACUCUGAAAAUGAGGAACUUCCCAAACCCCAUAUCAGUGACUCAGAAAGUGAGGACCCCCCAAGGCACCAAGCCAGUGACUCAGAAAAUGAAGAGCUUCCCAAGGCCCGUAUCAGUGACUCAGAAAGUGAGGACCCACCAAGGCACCAAGUCAGUGACUCUGAAAAUGAGGAGCUUCCCAAACCCCGAAUUAGUGAUUCAGAGAGCGAGGAUCCCCCAAGGAACCAGGCCAGUGAUUCCGAAAAUGAGGAGCUUCCCAAACCUCAAGUCAGUGACUCUGAGAGUGAGGAUCCUCAGAAGGGACCAGCCAGUGAUUCAGACAUUGAGGAGGCCUCCAGACACAAACAGAAACCCAAGUCAGAGGAUGACAGCGAUGGGGAGAAUAAAGGGGAGGAUACUGAAGUACAGAACAACUCCUUCCAUUUAGAUAGCCAUAUAGACAGAAACAGGUUUCACAGUUCUGACAGUGAGGAGGAUGAACCCAAAAGGCCAAAAAUUGACAGUGAUGAAGAUGAAGAAAGAGAGAGAGAGGAGGAGAAAAUAGCAAAGCGAAAAGCUGCUGUACUUUCUGAUAGUGAAGAAGAGAAAGCAUCAGCAAAGAAGAGUCGCGUUGUCUCCGAUGGAGAGAACUCUGACAGUGAUGUUAUAUCAGACAAAUCAGGCAAAAGAGAGAAGACUGUAGCAUCUGACAGUGAAGAAGAAGCAGGGAAAGAACGAUCUGAUAAGAAAAAUGAAGAGAAGGAUCUGUUUGGGAGUGAUAGUGAGUCAGGGAAUGAAGAAGAAAAUCUUAUUGCAGAUAUAUUUGGAGAAUCUGGUGAUGAAGAGGAAGAAGAAUUUACAGGUUUUAACCAAGAAGAUUUGGAAGAAGAAAAAAGUGAAACACAGGUAAAAGAAGCUGAAGAUUCAGAUUCUGAUGAUAACAUAAAGAGAGGAAAACAUAUGGACUUUCUGUCGGAUUUUGAGAUGAUGUUGCAGCGGAAAAAGAGCAUGAGUGGCAAGCGCAGACGUAACCGUGAUGGUGGUACUUUUAUUAGUGAUGCCGAUGAUGUGGUGAGCGCCAUGAUUGUCAAAAUGAAUGAAGCUGCUGAGGAAGACAGGCAGUUGAACAAUCAAAAAAAGCCAGCACUGAAAAAAUUAACAUUAUUACCUACCGUGGUCAUGCACCUUAAGAAGCAGGACCUUAAAGAAACAUUUAUUGACAGUGGUGUGAUGUCUGCCAUCAAAGAAUGGCUCUCACCUCUCCCAGAUAGGAGUUUGCCGGCACUAAAGAUUCGAGAGGAGCUAUUGAAGAUUCUGCAAGAGCUACCUAGUGUGAGCCAGGAGACGCUGAAGCACAGUGGGAUUGGACGAGCAGUAAUGUAUCUCUAUAAACAUCCCAAGGAGUCACGGUCCAACAAGGACAUGGCAGGGAAACUAAUCAAUGAAUGGUCUCGGCCUAUAUUUGGUCUUACCUCAAACUACAAAGGAAUGACAAGAGAAGAAAGGGAGCAAAGAGACCUAGAACAAAUGCCUCAACGACGAAGAAUGAGCAGGUAUGAGGGAACAGCACUGGUGGUCAGACACCCCGAAGAGACCUGGAAAAGGUGCUGACAGGAGAGGAGAAGGCGCUCAGGCCUGGGGAUCCUGGAUUUUGUGCUCGUGCGAGGGUACCUAUGCCUUCAAAUAAGGACUAUGUGGUCAGGCCUAAAUGGAAUGUGGAAAUGGAGUCAUCCAGGUUUCAGGGGACCUCCAAGAAGGGUAUCAGUCGACUGGAUAAACAGAUGAGAAAGUUCACAGAUAUCAGGAAAAAAAGCAGAUCGGCACAUGCAGUGAAAAUCAGCAUCGAGGGCAAUAAAAUGCCUUUGUGACCUUGCCUGGGAUAUGUCUCCAUCUUUGCUCUAAGAAAUGUUCAAAGGACUCUUUGGAGAAAGAUGAUAUUUUAAAAUUUUUAGUGUAUCUGUAAAUGGUUCAGCUUGUAUCAAAUAUUGUCAUAGGAUGUGCGUUUCUCUCCAUUGUAUUUAAAACCAUUUGUUGUGUACUUUGUACAGAGAAAUACUAGUCACACUUCUAUAAACCUUACACAAUAAAAUUACAGUCUGGUUUUGGGAGACUGUCUCUUCAUUGUCUUAGAGUAUUCCUUCUUAGUGGGGGGUGAAAAUUGGUUCUUGGUGAAUGAAAAAAAAACUCAGAUAUUAGAGUGGUUUGUGAUCUUUCGAAGUUCAGCCCUACCCUGCUAUUGUACCAUAAGGAAUUUGUUCUCUGUCCUGGGUUCCUGACUAGGAGCUUCUAAAACCCUUGGGUUUCCUGGGUAACAGGAAUAUCUUUGUGAUUCUAAUGAGGUGACCCCUGGUGUAUUCCUGUAUAGCUUUAGGUUGGGGUCUGGUCAUCAGAAGGACCUUAGAGGUCUGUUUUACAGGGUUGGGACUUUGGGCAGGCCUGACCUGAGGGGUGGUAAAGAUUGAAUCUAGUUAUUCAGUCAUGUGAAUAAUGAUUUAAUAGUUGUGCCUAAAUAGUGAGGCCCCAAUUAAGAAUUCUGGAUAGCAAAGCUUGGUAGAAUUUUUUUUAUUGGUGAGCAUACUGAUGUGCUGAGAUGGUGGAAUGCCUUGAUUCCACCAAAAGAGGGUGGAAGCUCUGUGUUUUUUCCCAGACCUUACCCUAUGUGUGUCUUCAUUUAGCUGGACCUUUUAAUUUGAGUCCUUUAUAAUAAAACUAUAAAUACAGUGCUUUCCUGAUUUCUGUGUCAUUUUAGUGAAUUCUUGAAUCUAAGGGGAUCGUGGGAACCCUUAGAUUUGUAACCACUCAGCCAGAAGUGGACUCCACUUGUAUCUGGCAUUUGGAAUGGGGACAAUCCUGUGGAGGACUGAACCCGUAAGCCUGUGAAGUCUGAUGCCAACUCCAAGUUGUUGUCAGAAUUGAAUUGUAAUAUCCUAGUUGGCAUAUUGCAACAAAAUUUAAUUUCAAAGUAUCUUUGUUAGGGAAAUAUUCAUUAUUUCAUUUUAAUUAUCGGCACACCUAGGAGAGGUUGUAGGUUCAGUGCCAGUAAUGUGAAUAUUGCAGUAAUGUAGUCACAUGAGCUUUUUGGUUUCCAAGUGCAUAUAAAAUCUGUUACACUAGUCUGUUAGCUGUGCAUUAUGUAUUAGAAAACACUGCAUACCUUAAUUCAAAAAUCCAAUUUUGCUAAAAAAUGCCAACUAUCCCCUGAGCCUUUGUGCUGGUGGAGUGUCUUUGCCUUGUGUUGAUGCUGCUGACUGAUAAGGGUGGUGGUUGCUGAAGGUUAUGGUGGCUGUAGCAAUUUUU